UUUUGGACAAUGGGCGAAAGCCUGAUCCAGCAAUGCCGCGUGUGGGAAGAAGGCCUUCGGGUUGUAAACCACUUUUGUACGGAACGAAACGGUCUGCUUUGAUACAGUGGGCUAAUGACGGUACCGUAAGAAUAAGCACCGGCUAACUACGUGCCAGCAGCCGCGGUAAUACGUAGGGUGCGAGCGUUAAUCGGAAUUACUGGGCGUAAAGCGUGCGCAGGCGGUUAUAUAAGACAGUUGUGAAAUCCCCGGGCUCAACCUGGGAAUUGCAUCUGUGACUGUAUAGCUAGAGUACAGUAGAGGGGGAUGGAAUUCCGCGUGUAGCAGUGAAAUGCGUAGAUAUGCGGAGGAACACCGAUGGCGAAGGCAAUCCCCUGGACCUGUACUGACGCUCAUGCACGAA
rnacentral:rRNA from 1 species